rnacentral:tRNA from 1 species
GGGAUUGUGGCUCAGCGGUAGAGCGCUCACCUAGCACGAGUGGGACCCGGGUUCGAUCCUCGGCACUACGU